rnacentral:rRNA from 1 species
CACUCCUGCGGGAGGCAGCAGUGGGGAAUAUUGGACAAUGGGCGCAAGCCUGAUCCAGCCAUGCCGCGUGAGUGAUGAAGGCCCUAGGGUUGUAAAGCUCUUUCACCGGUGAAGAUAAUGACGGUAACCGGAGAAGAAGCCCCGGCUAACUUCGUGCCAGCAGCCGCGGUAAUACGAAGGGGGCUAGCGUUGUUCGGAUUUACUGGGCGUAAAGCGCACGUAGGCGGACUAUUAAGUCAGGGGUGAAAUCCCGGGGCUCAACCCCGGAACUGCCUUUGAUACUGGUAGUCUUGAGUUCGAGAGAGGUGGGUGGAAUUCCGAGUGUAGAGGUGAAAUUCGUAGAUAUUCGGAGGAACACCAGUGGCGAAGGCGGCUCACUGGCUCGAUACUGACGCUGAGGUGCGAAAGCGUGGGGAGCAAACAGGAUUAGAAACCCUUGUAGUCC